rnacentral:rRNA from 1 species
AGGACGAACGCUGGCGGCGUGCUUAACACAUGCAAGUCGAACGAUGAAACCGACUUCGGUUGGUGGAUUAGUGGCGAACGGGUGAGUAACACGUGGGCAACCUGCCCUUAGCUCUGGGAUAACUUCGGGAAACCGAAGCUAAUACCGGAUACGACUCCUUUGGACAUCCAAUGGGAGUGGAAAGUUCCGGCGGCUAAGGAUGGGCCCGCGGCCUAUCAGCUUGUUGGUGGGGUAAUGGCCCACCAAGGCGACGACGGGUA